rnacentral:rRNA from 1 species
GAUGAAUGCUGGCGGCGUGCCUAACACAUGCAAGUCGAGCGGCAGCGCGGGUAGUUUACUACCUGGCGGCGAGCGGCGGACGGCUGAGUAACGCGUGGGAACGUGCCCCAAAGUGAGGAAUAACUGCCCGAAAGGGUGGCUAAUGCCGCAUAUGAUCUUCGGAUUAAAGUCUUCGGACGCUUUGGGAGCGGCCCGCGUCGGAUUAGGUAGUUGGUAGGGUAAUGGCCUACCAAGCCGACGAUCCGUAGCUGGUCUGAGAGGAUGAUCAGCCAGACUGGAACUGAGACACGGUCCAGACUCCUACGGGAGGCAGCAGUGAGGAAUCUUCCACAAUGGGCGAAAGCCUGAUGGAGCAACGCCGCGUGCAGGAUGAAGGCCUUCGGGUUGUAAACUGCUUUUAUAAGUGAAGAAUAUGACGGUAACUUAUGAAUAAGCACCGGCUAACUACGUGCCAGCAGCCGCGGUCAUACGUAGGGUGCAAGCAUUAUCCGGAGUGACUGGGCGUAAAGAGUUGCGUAGGUGGUUUGUUAAGUAGGUAGUGAAAUCUGGCGGCUCAACCGUACAGGCUAUUACCUAAACUGGCAAACUCGAGAAUGGUAGAGGUAACUGGAAUUUCUUGUGUAGGAGUGAAAUCCGUAGAUAUAAGAAGGGAACACCAAUGGCGUAGGCAGGUUACUGGACCAUUUCUGACACUGAGGCACGAAAGCGUGGGGAGCGAACGGGAUUAGAUACCCCGGUAGUCCACGCCGUAAACGAUGGAUACUAGCUGUUGGAGGUAUCGACCCCUCCAGUAGCGAAGCUAACGCGUUAAGUAUCCCGCCUGUGGAGUACGGUCGCAAGACUAAAACAUAAAGGAAUUGACGGGGACCCGCACAAGCGGUGGAUUGUGUUCUUUAAUUCGAUGAUAAACGAAGAACCUUACCAGGGUUUGACAUCCCUUGAAUUAUGCCGAAAGGCGUGAGUGCUUUAUUGAACAAGGUGACAGGUGAUGCAUGGCCGUCGUCAGCUCGUGUCGUGAGAUGUUUGGUUAAGUCCAUCAACGAGCGCAACCCUUGUCUUCAGUUGGAUUUUUCUGAAGAGACUGCCCCGGCAACGGGGAGGAAGGAGGGGAUGAUGUCAGGUCAGUAUUUCCCUUACAUCCUGGGCUAGAAACGUAAUACAAUGGCUAGUACAAUGCGCGGCGAAGCCGCGAGGUGAAGCAAAUCGCAUCAAAGCUAGUCCCAGUUCGGAUAAGAGGCUGAAACUCGCCUCUUUGAAGUCGGAAUCGCUAGUAAUCGCAGAUCACGCAAGCUGCGGUGAAUACGUUCCCGGGUCUUGUACU